UACGUAGGGGGCAAGCGUUAUCCGGAAUUACUGGGUGUAAAGGGAGCGUAGACGGUAAUGUAAGUCUGGAGUGAAAGGCGGGGGCCCAACCCCCGGACUGCUCUGGAAACUAUGUUACUGGAGUGCAGGAGAGGUAAGCGGAAUUCCUAGUGUAGCGGUGAAAUGCGUAGAUAUUAGGAGGAACACCAGUGGCGAAGGCGGCUUACUGGACUGUAACUGACGUUGAGGCUCGAAAGCGUGGGGAGCAAACAGG
rnacentral:rRNA from 1 species